GAUGAACGCUGGCGGCGUGCCUAAUACAUGCAAGUCGAGCGAACGGACGAGAAGCUUGCUUCUCUGAUGUUAGCGGCGGACGGGUGAGUAACACGUGGAUAACCUACCUAUAUGACUGGGAUAACUUCGGGAAACCGGAGCUAAUACCGGAUGAUAUUUUGAACCGCAUGGUUCAAAAGUGAAAGACGGUCUUGCUGUCACUUAUAGAUGGAUCCGCGCUGCAUUAGCUAGUUGGUAAGGUAACGGCUUACCAAGGCAACGAUGCAUAGCCGACCUGAGAGGGUGAUCGGCCACACUGGAACUGAGACACGGUCCAGACUCCUACGGGAGGCAGCAGUAGGGAAUAUUCCGCAAUGGGCGAAAGCCUGACGGAGCAACGCCGCGUGAGUGAUGAAGGUCUUCGGAUCGUAAAACUCUGUUAUUAGGGAAGAACAGAUGUGUAAGUAAAUGUGCACAUCUUGACGGUACCUAAUCAGAAAGCAACGGCUAACUACGUG
rnacentral:rRNA from 1 species